GACGAACGCUGGCGGCGUGCUUAACACAUGCAAGUCGAACGAAGUGGCGAACGGGUGAGUAAUACGUGGGUAACCUGCCCUCCUUUUUGGGAUAAUCCUUGGAACCGGGGUCUAAUACCGAAUAAAGGGGGAUGGGCUCGCGGCCUUUCAGGUUGUUGGUGGGGUGAUGGCCUACCAAGGCGGCGAAGGGUAGCCGGCCUGAGAGGGUGACCGGCCACGUUGGGACUGAGAUACGGCCCAGGCGCCUACGGGAGGGAGCAGUGGGGGAUAUUGCAGAAUGGGCGAAAGCCUGAUGCAGCGACGCCGCGUGGGGGAUGAGGGCUUUCGGGUUGUAAAACUCUUUCGCAAGCGAACGGGUAGGUGGAGAAGAAGCGCCGGCUAACUACGUGCCAGCCGCCGCGGUAAUAC
rnacentral:rRNA from 1 species